ACGAACGCUGGCGGCGUGCUUAACACAUGCAAGUCGAACGGAAAGGCCCUGCUUUUGUGGGGUGCUCGAGUGGCGAACGGGUGAGUAACACGUGAGUAACCUGCCCUUGACUUUGGGAUAACUUCAGGAAACUGGGGCUAAUACCGGAUAGGAGCUCCUGCUGCAUGGUGGGGUUGGAAAGUUUCGGCGGUUGGGGAUGGACUCGCGGCGUAUCAGCUUGUUGGUGGGGUAGUGGCUUACCAAGGCAUUGACGGGUAGCCGGCCUGGGAGGGUGACCGGCCACAUUGGGACUGAGAUACGGCCCAGACUCCUACGGGAGGCAGCAGUGGGGAAUAUUGCACAAUGGGCGGAAGCCUGAUGCAGCAACGCCGCGUGCGGGAUGACGGCCUUCGGGUUGUAAACCGCUUUCGCCUGUGACGAAGCGUGAGUGACGGUAAUGGGUAAAGAAGCACCGGCUAACUACGUG
rnacentral:rRNA from 1 species